GCAGUGAAAAUUUUUUUUGAAAAUUUUGAAAUUUUUUAUUAUUUUUCACUAUCGAGCAACCUGACUCUGCCUACGCCCUGUUCCAUUUGGUCUGCACAAAACGAUUGAUUCUCUCUCCAUUACCACUUCCGUUCUCCCCUGCUUCCACCUUCUCCCCUUUCACUGAGAUUAUAAUAACCUGAUACUGAAAUUGCAGACCCAUUUUGAAGUGACGAAAUCCAGAAGACGGAAACGAUACAAAGAACAUAGAUGCCUGCCACGCAUCCGGCGAUUACCUGAGAUGGAGAUGGUAGUGACGAACUGCCGCUGCUCUCCCCUGUCUCUCUCUCUCUCUCUCUCUCUCUCUCUCUCUCUCUCUAUGUCUGUCUCUAUGUCUGUCUCUACGUCUUUCUAUAUUCCGAUGAAGAAACGCUAAAAACACCGGACGAUGGCACAGGCACGCACAGGCGCAUAUCCCCAUUUCCUCCAUACGAUAAUCAUCUCUAUCUCAUCACUAUCGGCGCCCGUCAAUAUUCCGUUGCAGUUGUUGAGGCCAAUUGAUUGCUCGAAAACCAAAGAAUAGUGUUAAUUUUGCCAUAUUCGACUUACAUCGGAGUUUUCGAUGGUGACAAUGGGUCGAACCAUCUACAUUCAUCACCAGUCAACUCUACCAUUACCUGCAGAAUAAUCCGUCACUCUACUUGCGAUGUCAUAGGUUCGCAUCCUUCCCUUUCCACUGCGUCUGUUUGUUGCGUGGUCUAUUAACGACUGUUACUUGAUACUAUCAUCAUCAUCAUCACUAUAAUAUGCUUCCUCAGUUCUAAAACAUUACAUAAUCAGGAUAAAUACUUAGAUAUGGAGAAAAUGGUUUGUUGUCUCUAA